UACGUAGGGGGCAAGCGUUGUCCGGAAUCAUUGGGCGUAAAGAGCGCGUAGGCGGCCCAGUAAGUCCGCUCUGAAAGUCAGGGGCUCAACCCCUGAAUGCGGGUGGAUACUGCUGGGCUAGAGUCCGGAAGAGGCGAGUGGAAUUCCUGGUGUAGCGGUGAAAUGCGCAGAUAUCAGGAGGAACACCGAUGGCGAAGGCAGCUCGCUGGGACGGUACUGACGCUGAGGCGCGAAAGCGUGGGAAGCAAACAGG
rnacentral:rRNA from 1 species